rnacentral:tmRNA from 1 species
GGGGUCGACUGGUUUUGACAGCGAGAUUAAUGAAAUGGUAAGCACGUCGUGUAAUGGCAUUGAAACACGUAAAAGGCUAGACCAAAUUUUAAACGGCGAGAAUAACUACGCUUUAGCUGCAUAAUCUGAAUUAUAGUAAGAUUGGCCUAGGUACACGAGGUGUACAAGCUAAAUGUCUCCAGAAAGCCUUGGUUAAUGGCGUUCUUUUUAGAGGCAUCGUAAAUAUUAACUAAGAUUGGGUAGUGCUUUGAUGCCCAUUCGAGAUUAAGAAGCUAAGUUUUAAGUAGGUUGUCUUUAACCAGCUUAUAAUCGAAAACCCAAGAAUAGACUAAGCGUGUAGAAAGCUCUUUGAUUACUUGUUUGGACGAGAGUUCGAUUCUCUCCGACUCCACGA